rnacentral:lncRNA from 1 species
ACAGUUCGACAACACAACAAGGAGGGAAUAUAUUAAAGUAGAAUUGAAACAUCCAAAGCUACUACUAGACUGGUAAAUACAUCAACAACAUUAAAAACAAAAAAUUCAUCUCCUCUUCACUGUAUGUUUCUCCACUUCAAACUUGAACUUAUCUAUUACUAUGACCACAACAAACAGCUCUGCUCGGCACGGUUAGUCCAGGAAGAAGUAACCACAUAUUUGCUACUCUAUUGUCUCCCAUCUACUUGUUCAUAAUUUGUACUUUAAAAUAUAACAAUGCAACUCACAUGGACAAAAUGGAUUACCUUUUAUCUCUUUCCUGCUUGGUCAGAUUUCCACCUCCUUGUUUUUCCAGCUUUUAGCAAGUCCAAAAGAUGAUAUAACAAAGAGUCAUCUCUCUGCUCGGCCUAAACUUUCCCAACGUCCCUCCUCUACUCGGUCGUAGUCUCUACAUCGCCCCCCCUGCUCAGCUCGGCCUCUCUCAUAUCAGCUCGACUCUCUCAGCUCGGCUACACUCUACCUCCAUUGCUCCUCUACUGUUCGGCGACCUCUCUUCACAAACAUUUUUUGUUGACGAAAUAGGUAAGCACUUCAAAAUGAACUUUUUUAACUUUUGAUUGAGCUUAAAAAUCUUACGUUGCAAACAAAUUUUUCACUGAUUCCUCCUCUUGUUUUUCACUUUCCUCUAUGUCUAGUUGACAAGCAUACCAUAUGUUUGAUAAAAUGCCUCAAAGACAUUUUCAGUUCAAACAGCUCAGCCUAAAAUCCCCAAGCUCUUUAAACUCAAGCUUCAAGCUUGUUGGCUUGUUUUUAAUACUCUCUAAAUGUCAAGCUCAUGACUUUAUAUCCCAUAUUAGAAUCUUUAUUCACAUCAAAACAUCAAUACUAACACUUACUGCUCGGUCUUUCUUUCUUUUGCUCCUUAGCUCGGCCUUCCCUUUUGCAGCUCUUGAACAAGCACUUCAAGUGUUUGAUAAAAUGCCUCAAACACAUUUUCAGUUCAAAACAGCUGGUUUCAGGCUGGGCUGUUUGGUUUCCGCUUAUAACAAUAGCUAAAGUUUUGUUCGGCUCGUUCUCUUCAUGACAACAUCAGCUCUCUGCUCGGCCUCUUUUUGUUCGGCCUUUCACCAAAGCACUCCAAGUGUUUGAUAAAAUUCUACAAACACAUUUUUGCUUAAACAGCUCGGCCGCUUACCAGAGCUCCUCUUCUCUUUUGCUUGAGCUCAAACCAAUAUUUCAUGAUUUAAACAACUAUGAAUUCCAUAGGUGACAACAACACCUCUGCCGCCUUUAACUAGGCAACUUGGCUACAAAAUGUUUCCCUCAUCACUUUUGGUUCUACCUUAGCUCAAACUCAUGCUUCUUGUUUAUCACUUAUUGGAGCUUUCACUUAUUUGAUCUACCCUAGCCUAACUUUCACUUAUAUUUCUAUUUUUUUUUAUUUUUAGGAUUGGAGGUGG